rnacentral:rRNA from 1 species
GAUGAACGCUGGCGGCGUGCCUAAUACAUGCCAGUCGAGCGAACGGACGAGAAGCUUGCUUCUCUGAUGUUAGCGGCGGACGGGUGAGUAACACGUGGAUAACCUACCUAUAAGACUGGGAUAACUUCGGGAAACCGGAGCUAAUACCGGAUGAUAUUUUGAACCGCAUGGUUCAAAAGUGAAAGACGGUCUUGCUGUCACUUAUAGAUGGAUCCGCGCUGCAUUAGCUAGUUGGUAAGGUAACGGCUUACCAAGGCAACGAUGCAUAGCCGACCUGAGAGGGUGAUCGGCCACACUGGAACUGAGACACGGUCCAGACUCCUACGGGAGGCAGCAGUAGGGAAUCUUCCGCAAUGGGCGAAAGCCUGACGGAGCAACCCCGCGUGAGUGAUGAAGGUCUUCGGAUCGUAAAACUCUGUUAUUAGGGAAGAACAUAUGUGUAAGUAACUGUGCACAUCUUGACGGUACCUAAUCAGAAAGCCACGGCUAACUACGUG